GAUGAACGCUGGCGGCGUGCCUAAUACAUGCAAGUCGAGCGACCAGACGAGGAGCUUGCUCCUCUGACGUUAGCGGCUGACGGGUGAGUAACACGUGGAUAACCUACCUCUAAGACUUGGAUAACUUCGUGAAACCGGAGCUACUACCAGAUAAUAUAUUGUACCGCAUGGUUCAAUAGUUCAAGACGGUUUUGCUGUCACUUAUAGAUGGAUCCGCGCCGCAUUAGCUAGUUGGUAAGGUAACGGCUUACCAAGGCAACGAUGCGUAGCCGACCUGAGAGGAUGAUCAGCCACACUGGAACUGAGACACGGUCCAGACUCCUACGGGAGGCAGCAGUAGGGAAUAUUCCGCAAUGGGCGAAAGCCUGAAGGAGCAACGCCGCGUGAGUGAUGAAGGUCUUCGGAUCGUAAAACUCUGUUAUUAGGGAAGAAAAAAUGUGUAAGUAACUAUGCACGUCUUGACGGUACCUAAUGAGAAAGCCACGGCUAACUACGUG
rnacentral:rRNA from 1 species